GACAGCAGUGCAAGCGGCGGCAUCAGAGUCUACAGCGGCAGAAGUGGAGGUGGUGCCAGCGACUCCAUCCAGCCAGCUUGGCCCAAGUGGAGAUGAGCCGAGAGUCAGCGCGAGGCUGAAAGAGCAGAGCCUGGUCAAGCCAGACAAGGUCCGGGUGGCAAGACUGUCCCAGGGGAGGUGAAAGGACACGUUGGCGAAGGGCCUGGAGGCUGGCUUGCUGACUAGACCUGAGGUGACGACGGAGAUGGGGUCCUCUUUGGACUUCAGACACCUUGAGCAGCAUGGCCGACUGUUCCCCGCUGAUGCUGCCGGACUCCUCGGACACAGAGAUGGACGUUGAAAAGGUCCAGGCGACAUGACACCACCCAAAGAAACAAGCUGCUGCCCUCUGUGCCUUCGGGUGUAUGCGGCUCUGCUGCAUCACUUGAAGCGCUCCCAUAUUAUUAAAAACGUCACGGAGUGCAAGCUGGUGCUCGGCCUUGCGACAGGCCGGGUCAACAUAAGAUAUGAGAAGUGUCCAGUCUUGGGCUGUCGUUACGACAGUUCGAGGCUGGACAAGCAUAUGAACCAGGGACACCCGGAGCUUGAUGAGAGUGCUCUCAACGCCUUUACACGGCCACAAUAAAGCUCCUGGCCAAACUGCGGGCAUCAAACCCGGCCAUCGCUGUCAUGACGUCGCUGGACCUGGAGGAGCAGGAGGAAGCACCCACAGUGUGUGGAGGACAAAUGCCGGCUCAAGGCCUCCAACAGCCACCUCCAGCUGGAGUUGGGGUCAACAUCAGAUUUGAGAAGUCUCCAGUCUCGGGCUGUCGGCCCUGAUGACAGCGCUGGACCCGGAGGAGGAGGAAGCCCAGCAGGUUCCAGAAGAGGAGGAGGUGGUGGUGCAGGAGGGGGCAGAUGCACCCUGUGGAGACCCAGACUGUAUUGAGGAGAAACGGAAGCUCAAGGCCUCCAACAGCCACCUCCAGCUGGAGUUGGCCAAGAGCCUGGCUACCUCCAAAAAAUUAGCAAAGAGGCUGAGGAAGCAGGGACAAACUGAGUAUGGCUGGCUGGAAGGUGAGAAGCAUCAUACUGGUUGUCAAAAUAGUAAUAAUAAUAUCCUCUGCAUUUCUUUUUUUUUUCCUCUCUCAGCCAAGGCCAGUUGUAGCAGCACAACAGGAGGCAGAAGAGGGGAUGGACUCCGGGGAAGAGGCCAGGCCAAGCGGCGUGACGCAACCUGCACCAGAGUUGACCGACAUAGGAGAAACCCAUGCCGGGAGUAGUGCUGCUAAAACCCCGGAAGCAUUCAGAGGCAGCGGGAGAGGCCCUGGCAUGAGGCACCUUCCCCUGGCACCAUCCAUUGUGACAUACCUCAACGGUUACCAGCAAUACCACCAGGGCAGUGUGCCAUCACUCAAGCAAAAGGGCAACGCACUGUCGCGUGUCAGCAGGGUCAAGUCCUUCCUGUCGGGGGGGGAGGAAGGACACCUCCACUUGGCUGUUUAUGGACAACGUUGAGGGCAUCAGCAACUACGACAGCCACCUCCUCACGUCAGGGAAGCAGGUGACCACGGCAAAUUUCUAUCUCAGGAUUAUCCUCCAGUUUGUGUUAUACUUCCAAGAGACCCCGCCCCCCCUGUCCAGGCUCUCCAAGCUGCAAAUCACCACCGUGGUCAGGAGCGUGAGGUCUGCACUCAGAAAUAUAACAAAGCCGGUCGUCCUUCACCAGCUCAAGGUGAAGGCGACCAAACCGACACAUCUCAUCACCAGGGACAGCCUCCGGACUUGCCAGGAGCUGUCCCGGGAAAGGAUCCCUGGGAUACUGGAGUGCAUGGAGAAAGAGGCAGAUCCCACGAAGCUUUGCCAGGACCUCAAUCCGCAGAACAACCUCUUGCUAACCACGACAGGGAAGGGGCCCGUUAAAAAUCUUGUCCGUUACAAGUACUUGAGAGAGGCCCCGCCCAAGAGCAGCAGACUGACCAUGGCCCAACCAACGUACAAAAAUUGCAAGAGCUGUAAAAGUCAGCCUAGAAAAUUUGAAUAAGCCCGUGGUGCUCCACCAGAUGAAGGUGAAGGCUACAAAGAUGUCGCGGAUCAUCUCGAAAACCAGCCUGCGCGUGUGCCAGACUAAGGCGAAAGCCAAGAUCCCGCUGAUACUGGGCUGAACCACCGAGUACAGAUGCAGCUGGUCCAAGUGGUCAGUGGGAGGCUGAACAGUUGAGUGCCGGUGCAGCUCGUCCAAGUAGUCAACUGGAGAAUGGUCAAGGACAAAUUGAUGGUGUGCACAGAUUUGAUGCAGCCAGUCUGACAGCGCUCAUUGAGAGCAAGGCCGCAAGUAUACUAGCCGAAUAUGAAAAAUCAGGAACACUCUCCGUGACAUCCAGGAAACUUAUUGUGAAGGUCUGAUCUGAUGCAGCGAAGGGGAUUCUACCCUUCAAAUGCUGACAAACUGAUUUUGGCUAAAAGCAUAAUAUCAGUCUUCCCAUCACUGAAGAUCACGAUGCAAGAAGAGAAUGAAGGAUUUACUGGAGUCUGUUGGGAAAGGCUUUAUUAAGUAACACAACGUUAACAUCGACUCAGGUGCACAGACGUUAUUUGCUGGACUCUGUCCUUCGGCACCUUGGGGAAAUCACAGAAGGCAGUAACUCUGCAGGCAUUUGAAAAGGUAAAAUAAUUGCUAAACAUACACUGUGUUUACAAGACGGGAUACAACUCCCCUCUCGUCUCUGUUCCGUGAGUGUCAGAGGAGGCAUGUUGUAAUAAGCAUGUCACGGCUCCACUGCGACCUCAGCUUGUCUCCCCUCUGUGUGUGUGGCUUGAGUGCGACUGCAAUCAUCCGGCACCUGGGCUCAUCUCCUCACCUGACAACAAUUACACCAUCACCUUCAGCUUAAAUACCCCGGCUUCCUGCAGUCUCAUCGCCAGAUUGUUCCUUCAGCUCAGUGCGAUUCCCGUGCCACGUCGCCGCCCAGACACCGCCACCGCACACACUGCCUCGCUGCUUCACCUGCAUGCCCCACCUGCAUGCUCCACCUGCAUGUUCGCCUGGCUCCACAGACAAGCAAAAUAA